AGUCUAUUCAGAGGAACCUGUCCUGUAAUUGAUAAUCCACGAUGUACCUCACUUAAAUUUGUUUUUCAGUUUAUAUACCGUCGUUAUCAGAAUAUUUUAUUAGAAUAAUAAUUUUCUAUAAUUUUUAUAAGAAUUUAUAUCAGAUCAAGGUGUAGCUUAUAUUUAAGUAGAGAUGGGUUACAAUAAAUUUAUUUAAAUGGAUCUAAUUUUGAAAUGUUUAGUGAAGGUGGAUUUGAUAGUAAAAUUUUAAAGAUUGUUAAUUUGAUUUUAGCUCUAGAAUAUGCACACAUCGCCCGUCGCUCUUGCUAUUAAGGCAAGAUAAGUCGUAACAUAGUAGAUGUACCGGAAGGUGUAUCUAGAAUGA
rnacentral:rRNA from 1 species